GCCUGGGUAGCUCAGUUGGUUGAGCGUCUGACUUUGGCUCAGGACAUGAUCUCACUGUUUGUGAGUUGGAGCCCACAUCAGGCC
rnacentral:tRNA from 1 species